rnacentral:rRNA from 1 species
GAUGAACGCUGGCGGCGUGCCUAAUACAUGCAAGUCGAGCGAAAGGACGCGGAGCUUGCCUCUCUGAUGAUUGGGGAGCGCGGGUGUGUAAAACGUGGAAAACCCACCUGUCAGACGGGGAUAACUUGGGGAAACAGGAUAUCAAACCCGAGGAGAUUUUGAUGCGCGGGGUUGAAAGGUGAAAGACGGUGUUGUUGUAACGUUUAGAUGGUUCUGCGCUGCUUUAGCUAGUUGGUGGGGUAAAGGCCUACAAAGGCAACGAUGCAUAGCCGACCUGAGAGGGUGAUCGGCCACACUGGAACUGAGACACGGUCCAGACUCCUACGGGAGGCAGCAGUAGGGAAUCUUCCGCAAUGGGCGAAAGCCUGACGGAGCAACGCCGCGUGAGUGAAGAAGGUCUUCGGUUCGUAAAGCUCUGUUAUUAGGGAAGAACAGAUUUGUAAUUAACUGAGCACUUCUUGACGGUACCUAAUCAGAAAGCCACGGCUAACUACGUG